rnacentral:rRNA from 1 species
GGUGAACGCUGGCGGCGUGCUUAAGACAUGCAAGUCGAACGGCAGUCUUCGGACUGUAGUGGCGCACGGGUGAGUAACGCGUAACUGACCUACCCCAAAGUCGCGGAUAACGAUUCGAAAGAAUCGCUAAUACGUGAUGUGCUGUCAGAUUGUGUUCUGCCAGUAAAGAUUGAUUGCUAUGGGAUGGGGUUGCGUUCCAUCAGCUAGUUGGUGGGGUAAAGGCCCACCAAGGCGACGACGGAUAGCCGGCCUGAGAGGGUGGCCGGCCACAGGGGCACUGAGACACGGGUCCCACUCCUACGGGAGGCAGCAGUUAGGAAUCUUCCACAAUGGGCGAAAGCCUGAUGGAGCGACGCCGCGUGAGGGAUGAAGGUCUUCGGAUCGUAAACCUCUGAAUCAGGGACGAAAGACACUUCGGUGGGAAGACGGUACCUGAGUAAUAGCACCGGCUAACUCCGUGCCAGCCGCCGCCGUAAGAC